rnacentral:tRNA from 1 species
GAGAGAGGCUAAAGCAUAAGGAUUGUUAAUCCCUACGUCCAUGGUUAAAAAUAAUCAAAGGAUAGGAGGUCCCACCUGCCCGGUGAGGC